rnacentral:ncRNA from 1 species
UUUAUCAAGAGCGGUGGAGGGAACUGGCCCGACGAAGCCCAGCAACAGCCUUUUAUUUUUAGGUAAUGUGCUAAAUCCAGCAGACAAUGUCUGGCAGAUAAGU